rnacentral:rRNA from 1 species
AGAGUGAACGCUGGCGGCGUGCCUAACACAUGCAAGUCGAACGAGAACGGGUUACAGUUUACUGUAACUGUCAGCUAAGUGGCGCACGGGUGAGUAAUAUAUAGUUAACCUGCCCCAAAGAAGAGAAUAAUUGUUGGAAACGACUUGUAAUGCUCUAUAUGCCUUUAUCACAUAAGUGAGCAAGGGAAAUAUUUAUAGCUUUGGGAUGGGACUGUACGGUAUCAGUUUGUUGGUGAGGUAAUGGCUCACCAAGACUAUGACGCCUAACUGGUUUGAGAGGAUGAUCAGUCACACUGGAACUGAGACACGGUCCAGACUCCUACGGGAGGCAGCAGUGGGGAAUAUUGCACAAUGGAGGAAACUCUGAUGCAGCAACGCCGCGUGGAGGAUGACACAUUUCGGUGCGUAAACUCCUUUUAUUAGGGAAGAUAAUGACGGUACCUAAUGAAUAAGCACCGGCUAACUCCGUGCCAGCAGCCGCGGUAAUACGGGGGGUGCAAGCGUUACUCGGAAUCACUGGGCGUAAAGAGCAUGUAGGCUGGUUUGUAAGUUGGAAGUGAAAUCCUAUGGCUUAACCAUAGAACUGCUUCCAAAACUGCAGACCUAGAGUAUGGGAGAGGUAGAUGGAAUUUCUGGUGUAGGGGUAAAAUCCGUAGAGAUCAGAAGGAAUACCGAUUGCGAAGGCGAUCUACUGGAACAUUACUGACGCUGAGAUGCGAAAGCGUGGGGAGCAAACAGGAUUAGAUACCCUGGUAGUCCACGCCCUAAACGAUGCACACUAGUUGUUGCUAUGCUAGACAUAGCAGUAAUGCAGUUAACACAGUAAGUGUGCCGCCUGGGGAGUACGGUCGCAAGAUUA